rnacentral:lncRNA from 1 species
AUAGUAUAGUCAUGGCCGACUGCUGCUGUGGUUCUCUGACGAUUGUGCUUCUUGUUAAUCGUGUCAUGCUUGGUAAUUGUAUCGAUUAGAAUUGAUAACUGUCUUGACUUGAAUUUUGUUCUUUUAAAACUGCUGUACCUGUGCAAUAAAGAUGCAAUACCUUUCUUUUUUGUUUUAAAAAAAAUUGUAUAGAAAGAUAUAAAAACUGAAGUGACAAAAUUGGCAUGGUGGAAAUUCAGGCUGGUACUGGAUCCUAUCAUCAUUUCUUCCAAGCCCUAAGGUUGCUCUUUUCAGCAGCUUAAGUGGGACUCACUCCAGUAAAGGUGUGCAUCUUUAAGUUAAAAUACUGUAAUUUAUAUCAAAUGUAGCAUUAAGUUUAACUAUACCUUUGAAGGAUUCCACUUUUUUAAGAACAAAGUUAAUGAAUUAAUAUAUUUGAAUACUAAAAUUUCCUUACUAGUCGUAAAGUUAUUGAUGGUUGUGUUUCUAUUGUUUAAGCUGUUCAGCUACAGAAUGGCUUCUGGGAGAUGGGUAGAUGCCCCUACUAUUCUUGGCUUCCCUUCUAAGUGUUGCUUCCCAGGCCAGCUGCCUCUUACAGGCAUCUGUAGAAUGUAUUAUUUAGAAUGUCAGAGUGGGUUUGAAUGUUACCUUCUCUAAGGUUUUCGGGCAGAGAUGCUGGGUGGGAGCAGUUACAUCUCUCGUAUGUGGUACAGCCUGACAUUAGGGUAUGCACAGUACCAUUGGAUAUGUUGGGCAGUGUAUAACCUCAUGACGUGUUUUCUCAUGAAUUGUUUUUGCAUUGUUGAUAAAGCUAGUAUACCCUUUGGCCUUAGCCUAUAAACUUUAAAUAUAUAAAGAAAAUAUUAAAGAUGUAGUCAAUUUUAAAUGACCUUUAACUUUUCUAAAAAUGUGAAGUUUUGUACUUACAUAUCAUCUAAAGUAUUAUAGCAUUUUUAAGUGUACUUAGUUUGAUGCCACUUUUAGUGUUUUGUUGCUUUUGUCUGAUUUUUGUGAAUGUUCAUUUUAAGACUCCUUGUUGCAAUGGGACAGUUUCGUUCUUUGAUAAGCCUGAGAAGAGGAUCCCCUUGGGUGUUGGCCUCCUCUGCAUGAUGUGCCCAUGCAUCUGAACUGCACCCAAGGGCCUUUCCUUUCCCAAUGGACUCCCUCCCUGGAGCUGUGGCUCAGCCGUCUGGAGAAGGACCGGGCGACAAAUGCUGCCUGAAGAAAAGGGACACAGAGGACAGCUUGUCUGACAGUUGGGAGGCUUCGUGCUCGGCCUUCUCAUUUGAGUUUGCAUGUUUCUCUGCACUAUGGAUUUUGAACAUUUAGAUUUCUUUAAUC